GACGAACGCUGGCGGCGUGCUUAACACAUGCAAGUCGAGCGGUAAGGCCCCUUCGGGGGUACACGAGCGGCGAACGGGUGAGUAACACGUGAGCAAUCUGCCCAUCACAUCGGGAUAACUUCGGGAAACCGGAGCUAAUACCGAAUACGACCACCUCCGGCAUCGGAUGGUGGUGGAAAGCUCCGGCGGUGAUGGAUGAGCUCGCGGCCUAUCAGCCUGUUGGUGGGGUAACGGCCCACCAAGGCUUCGACGGGUAGCCGGCCUGAGAGGGUGACCGGCCACACUGGGACUGAGACACGGCCCAGACUCCUACGGGAGGCAGCAGUGGGGAAUAUUGGACAAUGGGCGAAAGCCUGAUCCAGCAACGCCGCGUGAGGGAUGACGGCCUUCGGGUUGUAAACCUCUUUCAGCAGGGACGAAGCGCAAGUGGCGGUACCUGCAGAAGAAGCACCGGCCAACUACGUGCCAGCAGCCGCAGUAACAC
rnacentral:rRNA from 1 species